rnacentral:rRNA from 1 species
CCUACGGGGGGCAGCAGUGGGGAAUAUUGCACAAUGGGGGAAACCCUGAUGCAGCGACGCCGCGUGAGUGAAGAAGUAUUUCGGUACGUAAAGCUCUAUCAGCAGGGAAGAAAAAAAGUCCUUUGGACUUUGGACGGUACCUGACCAAGAAGCCCCGGCUAACUACGUGCCAGCAGCCGCGGUAAUACGUAUGGGGCAAGCGUUAUCCGGAUUUACGGGGUGUAAAGGGGGCGCAGACGGCGAUGCAAGCCAGGAGUGAAAGCCCGGGGCCCAACCCCGGGACUGCUCUUGGAACUGCGUGGCUGGAGUGCAGGAGGGGCAGGCGGAAUUCCUGGUGUAGCGGUGAAAUGCGUAGAUAUCAGGAGGAACACCGGUGGCGAAGGCGGCCUGCUGGACUGCAACUGACGUUGAGGCCCGAAAGCGUGGGGAGCAAACAGGAUUAGAUACCCGUGUAGUC